GGCUACACGGUGUGAAAAUUGUUGAUUACUAACAUAAACAGUUCCCACUUUAAUUUCAAAGUAAAACAAGCGUCAUCGCUGACAUGCGGUGGUGAAGCUGAUCACUCACCAACCACGUCUAUAAAAAGAAAAGGCUAGAUAAUUCACUCGAAUCAUAUUAUUUACAUUAGAUUAGAUCAGACUCAGACUCUGUAAAGGAACAACAUCAAAUCAAAUCAAUGGCCACUAUUGGUGUCAAACCAGUUCUCCCUCCUCCGUUAACUUCAACUUCACAACCACCACCUCUUUUUGAUGGAACCACCAGGUUGUACGUAAGUUAUAGCUGCCCUUUUGCACAACGUACGUGGAUCACUAGAAACUACAAGGGGCUACAAAACAAUAUCCAUUUGGUUCCUAUUGACCUUCAAAAUAGGCCUGCUUGGUACAAGGAAAAAGUAUAUCCUGAAAAUAAGGUGCCAUCUUUGGAGCACAAUGGAAAGGUGUUGGGAGAAAGUCUUGAUUUGAUCAAAUAUAUUGAUGCUAACUUUGAUGGACCACCUCUCUUUCCCAAUGAUCCUGCCAAGAAAGAGUUUGCUGAGCAGUUGUUAUCACAUGUUGAUACCUUCACCAAGGAACUGUUUGUUUCACUAAAAGGGGAUACUGUGCAACAAUCCAGUCCUACUUUUGAAUUCUUGGAGAAUGCUCUUGGUAAAUUUGAUGAUGGGCCAUUCUUGCUUGGUCAACUCAGCUUGGUUGAUAUUGCUUAUAUUCCCUUUGUUGAAAGAUUCCAUAUUGUUCUUGCUGAGGUUUUCAAACAUGACAUUACAGAAGGAAGGCCUAAACUUGCAACAUGGAUUGAGGAGCUGAACAAAAUUGAUGCUUAUACACAGACAAGAGUGGAUCCUCAAGAAAUAGUUGAUCUUUUCAAGAAUCGUUUUCUGCCUAAACUUGCAACAUGGAUUGAGGUAUAGAAGAAUCAAUUGUGUAAAAUUCCCUACGUCCAAGAGGUGUCAGCUCUUGGAGUUGAACAAGAUUGGUGCUUAUACACAGACAAGAGUGGAUCCUCAAAUAAUUGUUGAUAAAUUCAAGGAGCGUCAUAUGCCUCAACAGUGAAAGUUGAACUGCAGCAGACUUCCUCUGAGAUAUUCCUAUAAAGCAUCGUUUGGUUUAGUAGGAUGCGUAUUCAGUCAAAUAUAUAGGUUGAUGUCAUUGUUAUGUUUCACUUUCUUGUUUGUUUGGUGUUGUGCUAAUGUUGCUGUACCAGCUUGUGAUCACUGAUCAAAAUACGGUAUUAUCCUACUUGUAACUGUAUAGUAUGUUAAUAAUAUUUAAUAAAAUUUGAAACUUGUGUCAUCAA